UUAACUGGGUUUCCAGGGGGACUCGGAGAGGCUCAGGUAGGGUGCGUGGUUUCGGCCGGGGUACCGCCGGCGGGUCCCGGGUGGCUCCGCCCUGGAGCCGCCCGCCGAGGCACGUUUCUGGUAGGUUCGCGAUGGUUUGGGAGCGGUCUAUCGGCAAUGAUCCCUCCGCUGGUUCACCAACGGAGA
rnacentral:misc_RNA from 1 species